rnacentral:misc_RNA from 1 species
ACUUCGUAUUUGUCUCUAAGCCGUCAUGAUAGCCAUUCCUCAUUUCAUUUCUCCAAUUGAAAUACUGCUACAAAUUAUAAUCAAUAAAUAUCUAUCAGAAUCUUAUUGUUUGGUAGUGAUUUCAGAAACACCGCUCAGUGUGAAAUUACCAAUGAGUUUUACGUAUCUAGAUCCAAAAAAGGAACAUUUUUCAGUGGAAACUCUACUUAAGCUAUCGGAAGAAGGUUGUUCUGAUUAUAUCAUUCGCAUGGAAGACCCACGACAGUUUAUGAAUGCACUGGAAGAAAUCAGACCUAUGAGUAUGGUGCGUAGAAGUGACAAGAAAUUAGUCAUAGUGCCGGUCACUGAUGAUGAAAAUAGUAUGGAACCCAUUCUGAAUUUACUUACCAUGAAAGAAAGCAGUUAUUAUGCACAUAUAUUACUUAUAUUACCCACCCAAACGGAGCGUUUUGAAUGCCUGGCAUUUAAUUUAAUUACUCAUAGAUUUGUAGGGUCAGAUUCAGAGUCCAAAUUACCUAUUAUAUUAGAUCGUUGGUAUUCGUGCACAAACCACUUUGAAAAUAAUGUCUAUUUAUUUCCUAAUAAUUUAAAAAACUUGAAUGGUAAAACUAUGAAAAUAAGCACGUUUAUAUAUAAACCUUACGUAUUAUUGGAUGUGGAUACUGCAGUGGCACCGCUCGGAAGAGACGGUAUAGAAAUAAGAAUGAUUGACGAAUUUUGCAGAUGGAUUAAUUGUACUGUUCAAAUUAUAAGAGAAGAUGUGGACUUAUGGGGAGAAAUUUAUGAAAAUGAAACAGGCAUCGGGGUUAUCGGAAGUGUUGUUGAAGGCCGGUCGGAUAUUGGAAUUGCCGCUUUAUAUUCGUGGUAUGAAGAAUGGAAAGCCAUGGAUUUUUCAGUUUCUGUUGUCAGAUCGGCUGUAAUAUGUUUGGUACCAGCUCCAAGAGUUUUGGAAUGUUGGGAGUUACCUUUUCUGCCAUUCGGUAAAAGUAUAUGGAUAGCUGUCGUGAUUACAUUUGUGUAUGCCAGCAUCGGUUUGACAAUCGCUCAGGGAUGUUCUUCUAAUAAAGCUCUAUUAAUUGUCUUUGGUACUAUAAUUUCACAGGCCUUUUUUCCGAUUUAUUUUCAGUCUCAGUAUAUAGUAAGCGACUCUUGGCGCAUUCGUUCUGUUAUUGGUUGGCUUUUAGUUUCAAGUUUGAUUUUGGUAAGUGCUUACGGAGCUGGACUUGCUUCUACAUUUACUGUACCGCAGUAUGAGCCAUCUAUUGACACUGUCCAAGAUCUUCUCAACAGCCGCAUGGAAUGGGGUGCUAAUCACGAAGCUUGGACAUUUUCUCUAGCUUUAUCUUCUGAGCCAGUAGCAAAGAAGUUAAUUAAACAGUUUAAAAUCUAUUCUUUUGAAGAGUUACAGAGAAGAAGUUUCUUAAGGAAAAUGGCCUUUAGCUUGGAAGAACUACCAGCAGGUACCUUCGCAAUUGGGGAAUAUUUAUCGAAAGAAGCAGUUCAAGACAUGCAACUCAUGUCUCUUUGAAGUACUUGGAUUACAAAAUUCAAUUGGAAACAAGACUAUCUCGUGCUAGAAGUGACGUUGGUGAUUUAAAGCCGCUUAAUUUCAAUCAUGUUGAGGGUAUUUUUUUGAUAUUUA